AUGCCUGUACCAUAACCGACACAGGUGGGUAGGUAGAGUAUACUAAGGGGCGCGAGAUAACUCUCUCUAAGGAACUCGGCAAAAUGACUCCGUAACUUCGGGAGAAGGAGUGCCUUAUUUAUAAGGUUGCAAUAACAAGAUCCAAGCAACUGUUUAUCAAAAACACAGGUCUCCGCUAAGUCGUAAGACGAUGUAUGGGGGCUGACGCCUGCCCAGUGCCAGAAGGUUAAAGAAGUUGGUUAGUGUAUGCGAAGCUGAUGACUGAAGCCCUGGUGAACGGCGGCCGUAACGAUAACGGUCCUAAGGUAGCGAAAUUCCUUGUCGGGUAAGUUCCGACCCGCACGAAAGGCGUAAUGAUUUGGAUACUGUCUCGGAGAGAGGCUCGGUGAAAUAGACUUGUCUGUGAAGAUGCGGACUACCUGCACCAGGACAGAAAGACCCUAUGAAGCUUUACUGUAACUUGAAAUUGGAAUUGGACUUUGCUUGCGCAGUAUAGGUGGGAAGCGUUGAAGAUAUUCUUGCGGGAGUAUUGGAGCUAUCAGUGAGAUACCACUCUUGUAAUGUUAGAUUUCUAACUUUGAACCAUAAUCUGGUCAAAGAACAGUUUCAGGUGGGCAGUUUGACUGGGGCGGUCGCCUCCCAAAUGGUAACGGAGGCGUACAAAGGUUUCCUCUGAACGGAUAGAAAUCGUAUCUAGAGUGUAAAGGCAUAAGGAAGCUUGACUGUGAGACCUACAAGUCGAGCAGGGACGAAAGUCGGUCUUAGUGAUCUGACGGUACUGAGUGGAAAGGCCGUCACUCAACGGAUAAAAGUUACUCUAAGGAUAACAGGCUGAUCUCCCCCAAGAGUUCACAUCGACGGGGAGGUUUGGCACCUCGAUGUCGGCUCAUCGCAUCCUGGGGCGGUAGUACGUCCCAAGGGUUGGGCUGUUCGCCCAUGAAAGCGGUACGCGAGCUGGGUUCAGAACGUCGUGAGACAGUUCGGUCCAUAUCCGGUGUAGGCGUUAGAAUAUUGAGAGGAGCCUUCUUUAGUACGAGAGGACCGAGAAGGACACACCGCUGGUGUACCAGUUAUCGUGCCAACGGUAAACGCUGGGUAGCUAUGUGUGGAGUGGAUAACCGCUGAAAGCAUCUAAGUGGGAAGCCCACCUCAAGAUGAGUGCUCUCACAGGGUUAACCUGGUAAGGUCACGGGAAGACCACCCGUUAAUAGGCACUAGGUUGAAGUCCAGUAAUGGAUGGAGCCAGGGUGUACUAACAGACCGAGGGCUUGAC
rnacentral:rRNA from 1 species